UCCUAGCCCCGGUAGUAGCGGCAUCCUUUUAUGGCCUCGUUUUUUAACGAGGCCAUAAAAGAUAUAGCGGAUGACGGGAAAUAGC
rnacentral:sRNA from 1 species